GGAAGAUGAAAGAGUGCUUAAAUUAAAAAAAUGCACUUUUAAGUGCUUGAUAUAUUCAAAGAAAAGGCUCUGAAAAAUUUAAAAAUUCAAAAAUAAACAAAUUGGCCUCGGACUUCGAGGUGGCCUCUUCCUGGGCAGAGAAAAAUUAUGGGGGCAAAGUGAACGCAGUGAACCCUCCCCGGGCAUGGCAGCAUAAAUAAACAGAGGGGAGGAGCCUAGGCCCUAAAUGCCUAGGAGACUAAAUGGUGUUUAGAAAUAAAAUGUACAAAUUAAAUUGAGCUCAGUGAAGAAAAUAUGUAUUUUACACAAGUCAUGCCUGAAGAAGACACAGAAGGUUGUCGAAACGUCGCGAUAAAAGGCUUGUGUACUUGUAUAUAGUUUAAAAUCUUCACAGACCCAAUGUAACUUUUCAUGCAAAAGUGACCAAUUCUGCCUAAAAUGCUCCCAGGAGCAUGCAUAUGAUGAAACUAGCUGUUUUAAAGCAUAUCUAGCUCAGAACAGCGUUUCUGAGUGAGAAUAGCAUAUUUCUAGUGGCAAUGUAACUUUUCAUGCAAAAGUGACCAAUUCUGCCUAAAAUGCUCCCAGGAGCAUGCAUAUGAUGAAACUAGCUGUUUUAAAGCAUAUCUAGCUCAGAACAGCGUUUCUGAGUGAGAAUAGCAUGUUUCUAGUGGCAAUGUAACUUUUCAUGCAAAAGUGACCAAUUCUGCCUAAAAUGCUCCCAGGAGCAUGCAUAUGAUGAAACUAGCUGUUUUAAAGCAUAUCUAGCACAGAACAGCGUUUCUGAGUGAGAAUAGCAUAUUUCUAGUGGCAAUGUAACUUUUCAUGCAAAAGUGACCAAUUCUGCCUAAAAUGCUCCCAGGAGCAUGCAUAUGAUGAAACUAGCUGUUUUAAAGCAUAUCUAGCUCAGAACAGCGUUUCUGAGUGAGAAUAGCAUAUUUCUAGUGGCAAUGUAACUUUUCAUGCAAAAGUGACCAAUUCUGUCUAAAAUGCUCCCAGGAGCAUGCAUAUGAUGAAACUAGCUGUUUUAAAGCAUAUCUAGCUCAGAACAGCGUUUCUGAGUGAGAAUAGCAUAUUUCUAGUGGCAAUGUAACUUUUCAUGCAAAAGUGACCAAUUCUGCCUAAAAUGCUCCCAGGAGCAUGCAUAUGAUGAAACUAGCUGUUUUAAAGCAUAUCUAGCUCAGAACAGCGUUUAUGAGUGAGAAUAGCAUAUUUCUAGUGGCAAUGUAACUUUUCAUGCAAAAGUGACCAAUUCUGCCUAAAAUGCUCCCAGGAGCAUGCAUAUGAUGAAACUAGCUGUUUUAAAGCAUAUCUAGCACAGAACAGCGUUUCUGAGUGAGAAUAGCAUAUUUCUAGUGGCAAUGUAACUUUUCAUGCAAAAGUGACCAAUUCUGCCUAAAAUGCUCCCAGGAGCAUGCAUAUGAUGAAACUAGCUGUUUUAAAGCAUAUCUAGCACAGAACAGCGUUUCUGAAAGAGAAUAGCAUAUUUCUAGUGGCAAUGUAACUUUUCAUGCAAAAGUGACCAAUUCUGCCUAAAAUGCUCCCAGGAGCAUGCAUAUGAUGAAACUAGCUGUUUUAAAGCAUAUCUAGCUCAGAACAGCGUUUCUGAGUGAGAAUAGCAUGUUUCUAGUGGCAAUGUAACUUUUCAUGCAAAAGUGACCAAUUCUGCCUAAAAUGCUCCCAGGAGCAUGCAUAUGAUGAAACUAGCUGUUUUAAAGCAUAUCUAGCUCAGAACAGCGUUUCUGAGUGAGAAUAGCAUAUUUCUCGUGGCAAUGUAACUUUUCAUGCAAAAGUGACCAAUUCUGCCUAAAAUGCUCCCAGGAGCAUGCAUAUGAUGAAACUAGCUGUUUUAAAGCAUAUCUAGCUCAGAACAGCGUUUCUGAGUGAGAAUAGCAUAUUUCUCGUGGCAAUGUAACUUUUCAUGCAAAAGUGACCAAUUCUGCCUAAAAUGCUCCCAGGAGCAUGCAUAUGAUGAAACUAGCUGUUUUAAAGCAUAUCUAGCACAGAACAGCGUUUCGGAGAGAGAAUAGCAUAUUUCUAGUGGCAAUGUAACUUUUCAUGCAAAAGUGACCAAUUCUGCCUAAAAUGCUCCCAGGAGCAUGCAUAUGAUGAAACUAGCUGUUUUAAAGCAUAUCUAGCUCAGAACAGCGUUUCUGAGAGAGAAUAGCAUAUUUCUAGUGGCAAUGUAACUUUUCAUGCAAAAGUGACCAAUUCUGCCUAAAAUGCUCCCAGGAGCAUGCAUAUGAUGAAACUAGCUGUUUUAAAGCAUAUCUAGCUCAGAACAGCGUUUCUGAAAAGUGAAAUAGACCUUUAUUCUGUACUUACUGCUUAUUGCACUUCUGGUUAGAUGCUAACUGCAUUUCGUUGCCUUGUACCUACAUGUGCAGUGACAGUAAAGUUGAAUCUAAUCUAA